AUUGUCACUACUUUCAUUGUAUGUUAUGCUCUCACAUCCUUCAUAACUGGUUAUGUGAGUGGGGGGAUGUAUUCUCGCCAUGGUGGUAAAAAUUGGAUAAAGUCAAUGAUCCUCACAGCUACUCUGUUUCCAUUCAUGUGUUUUGGGAUUGGUUUCAUCUUAAACACAAUAGCUAUAUUUUACGGGUCUUUAGCAGCUAUUCCCUUUGGCACCAUGGUGGUGAUUUUCAUAAUUUGGGCU
rnacentral:misc_RNA from 1 species